rnacentral:rRNA from 1 species
UAUUUUUAAAGGGCCGCGGUAUACUGACCGUGCGAAGGUAGCAUAAUCAUUAGUCUUUUAAUUGGAGGCUUGUAUGAAUGGUUGGACAAAAAGUAAUCUGUCUCAAUUGUAAUAGUUGAACUUAACUUUUAAGUGAAAAGGCUUAAAUACUUUAAGGGGACGAUAAGACCCUAUAAAACUUGACAAUAAAUUAGUUAAAUUAUAAAUUGUUAGUAUAACUUGAUCUUAAUUAAUGUUUGUUGCGUUGGGGCGACGGGAAUAUAAUUAGUAACUGUUCUUAAAUACUUAUUAACAAGUAUAAUUGAAAAAUAAUUGAUCCUUUAUUAAAGAUUAAAAGAUUAAGUUACUUUAGGGAUAACAGCGUAAUCUUCUUUGAGAGUCCUCAUCGACAAGAAGGUUUGCGACCUCGAUGUUGAAUUAAGGUAUCCUUAUAAUGCAG